rnacentral:rRNA from 1 species
GAUUAACGCUGGCGGCGUGCCUAAUACAUGCAAGUCGAGCGAACGGACGAGAAGCUUGCUUCUCUGAUGUUAGCGGCGGACGGGUGAGUAACACGUGGAUAACCUACCUAUAAGACUUGGAUAACUUCGGGGAACCGGAGCUAAUACCGGAUAAUAUUUUGAACCGCAUUGUUCAAAAGUGAAAGACGGUCUUGCUGUCACUUAUAGAUGGAUCCGCGCUGCAUUAGCUAGUUGGUAAGGUAACGGCUUACCAAGGCAACGAUGCAUAGCCGACCUGAGAGGGUGAUCGGCCACACUGGAACUGAGACACGGUCCAGACUCCUACGGGAGGCAGCAGUAGGGAAUCUUCCGCAAUGGGAGAAAGCCUGACGGAGCAACGCCGCGUGAGUGAUGAAGGUCUUCGGAUCGUAAAACUCUGUUGUUAGGGAAGAACAUAUGUGUAAGUAACUGUGCACAUCUUGACGGUACCUAAUCAGAAAGCCACGGCUAACUACGUG